UACGUAGGGCGCAAGCGUUGUCCGGAAUUAUUGGGCGUAAAGAGCUCGUAGGCGGUCUGUUACGUCCGCUGUGAAAACCCAGGGCUUAACCCUGGGCUUGCAGUGGAUACGGGUAGACUAGAGGCAGGUAGGGGAGAAUGGAAUUCCCGGUGUAGCGGUGAAAUGCGCAGAUAUUGGGAGGAACACCGGUGGCGAAGGCGGUUCUCUGGGCCUGACCUGACGCUGAGGAGCGAAAGCGUGGGGAGCGAACAGG
rnacentral:rRNA from 1 species